UCCUACGGGGGGCAGCAGUAAGGAAUAUUCCACAAUGGGCGAAAGCCUGAUGGAGCGACGCCGCGUGAGGGAAGAAGGCCUUUGGGUCGUAAACCUCUUUUGUGGGGGAUGAUAAUGACAGUACCCCACGAAUAAGCCUCGGCUAACUACGUGCCAGCAGCCGCGGUAAUACGUAGGAGGCGAGCGUUGUCCGGAUUUACUGGGCGUAAAGCGCGCGCAGGCGGCACGCCAAGUACGUCGUGAAAUCUCCCUGCCUAACGGGGAGGGUGCGAUGUAAACUGGCGAGCUAGAGGACGGUAGAGGGGGGUAGAAUUGCUGGUGUAGCGGUGAAAUGCGUAGAGAUCAGCAGGAAUACCCGUGGCGAAGGCGGCCCCCUGGGCCGAACCUGACGCUGAGGCGCGAAGGCUAGGGGAGCGAACGGGAUUAGAUACCCCGGU
rnacentral:rRNA from 1 species